AUUGAACGCUGGCGGCAGGCCUAACACAUGCCAGUCGAACGGUAACAGGAAGAAUCUUGCUUCUUUGCUGACGAGUGGCGGACGGGUGAGUAAUGUCUGGGAAACUGCCUGAUGGAGGGGGAUAACUACUGGAAACGGUAGCUAAUACCGCAUAACGUCGCAAGACCAAAGAGGGGGACCUUCGGGCCUCUUGCCAUCGGAUGUGCCCAGAUGGGAUUAGCUAGUAGGUGGGGUAACGGCUCACCUAGGCGACGAUCCCUAGCUGGUCUGAGAGGAUGACCAGCCACACUGGAACUGAGACACGGUCCAGACUCCUACGGGAGGCAGCAGUGGGGAAUAUUGCACAAUGGGCGCAAGCCUGAUGCAGCCAUGCCGCGUGUAUGAAGAAGGCCUUCGGGUUGUAAAGUACUUUCAGCGGGGAGGAAGGGAGUAAAGUUAAUACCUUUGCUCAUUGACGUUACCCGCAGAAGAAGCACCGGCUAACUCCGUG
rnacentral:rRNA from 1 species